UUGCCAGCCCGCUCAAGAAACUCGAAAGGAAUUGACGGGGGCCCGCACAAGCGGUGGAGCAUGUGGUUUAAUUCGAUGAUACGCGAGGAACCUUACCUGGGCUCAAAUGUAUGUUGACGUAUUCUGAAAGGGAUACUUCUUCGGACAAUAUACAAGGUGCUGCAUGGUUGUCGUCAGCUCGUGCCGUGAGGUGUCGGGUUAAGUCCCAUAACGAGCGCAACCCUACCUUUAGUUGCCAUCAGGUAAUGCUGGGGACUCUAAAGGAACUGCCUACGCAAGUAGUGAGGAAGGCGGGGAUGACGUCAAAUCAGCACGGCCCUUACGUCCAGGGCUACACACGUGCUACAAUGGCCGAUACAGAGGGCAGCUACCUGGUGACAGGAUGCAAAUCUCCAAAGUCGGUCUCAGUUCGGAUCGGAGUCUGCAACCCGACUCCGUGAAGUUGGAUUCGCUAGUAAUCGCGCAUCAGCCAUGGCGCGGUGAAUACGUUCCCGGGCCUU
rnacentral:rRNA from 1 species